rnacentral:rRNA from 1 species
CCUACGGGAGGCAGCAGUGAGGAAUAUUGGUCAAUGGACGCAAGUCUGAACCAGCCAUGCCGCGUGCAUGAAGACGGCUCUAUGAGUUGUAAACUGCUUUUGUACGAGGGUAAACGCAGAUACGAGUAACUGUCUGAAAGUAUCGUACGAAUAAGGAUCGGCUAACUCCGUGCCAGCAGCCGCGGUAAUACGGAGGGUUCAAGCGUUAUCCGGAUUUACUGGGUUUAACGGGUGCGUAGGCGGUCGGAUAAGUUAGAGGUGAAAUCCCGAGGCUCAACUUCGGAAUUGCCUCUGAUACUGGUCGGCUAGAGAGUAGUUGAGGUAGGCGGAAUGUAUGGUGUAGCGGUGAAAUGCGUAGAGAUCAUAAAGAACACCGAUUGCGAAGGCAGCUCACCAAGCUACGACUGACGUUGAGGUACGAAAGCGUGGGGAGCAAACAGGAUUAGAUACCCGUGUAGUC